UACAGAGGUCUCAAGCGUUGUUCGGAUUCAUUGGGCGUAAAGGGUGCGUAGGUGGCGCGGUAAGUCGGGGUGUGAAAUCUCGGAGCUUAACUCCGAAACUGCAUUCGAUACUGCCGUGCUUGAGGACUGGAGAGGAGACUGGAAUUUACGGUGUAGCGGUGAAAUGCGUAGAUAUCGUAAGGAAGACCAGUGGCGAAGGCGGGUCUCGUGGACAGUUCCUGACGCUGAGGCACGAAGGCCAGGGGAGCAAACGGG
rnacentral:rRNA from 1 species